AAUAAAAAUGAAAAUUCUUCUGUCUGAUCUCUCUCUCUCUUCUCCCCCUAUUGCCCCUCUCUCUCUCUCAAAUUCAAUUUCUCUUUUUUUUGGUCACUGGCUCACAACGUCGCCGGUCGAAAUCGUUGUUGGGUAGCCUCGUUGCCGAUCAGAUGUAUUGAGUGUCAGUUUGAAGCUUUCACGGAGAUUACGAAGGAUCCAAAACUGCUUCUUAAUCCAUUAUCAUUUUGCCUAUUUCAGUAGGAUGUUGCUUGAGCAAUUUGCAAUGAGGUGGAGUCUUUGGUUAAGAAGUGUGAGGAACCAAAAAUGUUUGACGCAAUCAAAAAGACUCCUUCUAAGUUCUAUAAGCAUGUCGAAGAUAUUAUUAGCAAUGAGUUAAUGCAGGUCCUUUAGAUCAGGAGCAAAAUACUAAGGAAAAAAUCCAUCACUUUGCUUCAAGAUAAAGUUAUAGACAUUGAGUGAAAAAGGGUACAUUAGCUCUGAUGAUUGUAAGAGAUUUGAUCAUUUGCAUAUGGGGUGGAAAGGAAGGUUGAACAACAGAUAAAAAUUACCAGUUCUCUGUUAUACUAAAAGUAAGGACUUGGCGGGUGGAAGUUGCAGGACAUAGUAAAACAAAGUGGCUAGUAGUCCUUAAAAUAAGUCUUUCAGUGUGUGCUCAAAUAUUAAGCUGUAAGUGGGGAUGAAGCUAAAGACUUCCGUGAUAAAGGUUAUAAGGAAGCGAAUACUCAUUAUACUUGUUGAAGCAUGCACUUAGACUCUGAUCUAGUGAUCUUAAGCUUGAAGGCAAUUGGAAAACUCAAGGUGAAAUAUUUUCAUACAAGUAUGCUUCAUUUAUAAUCAUGAAAUUCUUUUAUGUAUAUGGUUUAUCUACUCUCAGCAUUUGAAGAAAUGACCUACUGAGUUUGCUCUUACUUUUGAUCCCAUCUUUAUUUUCUUUGAGACUCAAGUUUUUGGCUCAAGAAUUUCCACUUAGUUUGGAUCAAAUUCAAGGUGUUGAGCUUUUUAUUUCAUCUCUAUUCAAUUUCUUAAUUGAGUGACUUCAUAUUAUUUUCAUUUGCUGCCUACAUAUAUUUAAGUUAGCCCUUUCAUUGAGCUAAUUUUAAUCAGAAAGUAAGUCAAUAAAGAAAAUUUUGCUAUUAUUUGUUCUAAAGUGCAUUUUAGUUUUUAUAUGUGUUAAAAGAACUAUAGUUUUGAUUGUGUUUUCUAAAGUACUAAAGUACCAUCAACUUGAUUUAAAAUGUAUGUUAAAGUGAUAUUUGAUUUAUUUUUAAUCAUUAUGUAACAAAUUUUCAUUACAUGAUUGGUUAUGUUUUAUUAUUUGACAUAAUUUUAUGUUUUCUUGCAUACUGGUUAUUUAUAUUUUAAGCUUUAUAAUAUGUUUGUUUUUUUUUUUUGCUAGAACUUUAUAAAUAAACCUUAUAUUUUCACAUUAUGGUUGUGUCAAGAUCCUUUAAGUGGGCUUUAAUUUGUUGGUUUUGCUUAAAGAUUAUUUCUUUGGUUUGUGCUAUUGCUUUUGUUCUUAAUAAUUUAUUUUGUUGUAGCUGAUGAAGGUAAGCCCUUUCCCCUUUAGUUCAGGUUUAUAAAAUUUUUUGUGUUGGAAUUGUUUCUAAUUAAGAGAAUACAAAGAGAAAAAUUAGAGAUGUUGUAAGUGUAAGAAUAUGGUGAUUAAUACUUAAUGUUUGUGAUUUGAGAAUAUGGAUUUAGAUUACCUUUUCUUUAGUCCUUUUGUUGGCUUUUGUGUAUGAAAUUUGGAUUUUACAGAUUUGAUUUAUGCAUAUUCUAUAAUAUGAUUUUAUCAGACUUUUAUUCAUGUGAAAAUAUAUAAUAUUGAUUGUAUGGGUUUUGAUCAUAAAUAAUGAGAUUUUUGUUUGGUGCUGUCAUAUUGCUUAUAUAUGUCUCUAUCUCUAUAUUUUUAUUCUCUUUAUAAUAUAGUUAAAACUUUUUUGGUUGGCUGCCUCCAAGAGAAGAGGCAAAAUACUUGGUGUGCAAGCAAUCUCUCACGAGAGACUCUUACUUUUGUUUGCAUUUUGCAAGAGGAAUGACUCGAGUGGUAAUCUAUGCUCAAUAUGAUGGGGAGGGGAAGGAUGAGCAAGGGUUGUAUAAAUGGUCACCAAGGAAUAAGGAUGUUAUAUCUAUCAUUGUUGAUGAAUUUAAUAUUACUUUUGAGGUGUUAUUGAAGAAAUUGUAUAAGAAGAUUGGGGUGAAUCAAAAUGAUAUCGAAUUGAAAAUAAGUUACUUACCUAUCAUUGCGGGAGAAAUUAUGUCACCACUCAUUUUACGAGGGGAUGAAUGUCUUGCAUUUUAUCUUUUGGAUUGUGGAGAGAACAAUCGUAGAGUUGCACUACUUGUGGAUCUCAUUAAGAGAGAAGAUAUAUGUGACAUGGAAGUUGAACACAACAUGGAAGAAAAUGAACAAAGUUUAGUAGAUGAUUACUUUGUCUGUGAAUUCUACUUUGAAAAUAAUAUUUGUGAUGCUGCUUCUGCACCAGGCGAAAGUGGUGUUAAUCUAGGUUGUGAACCUAUGGACCUUCUUAACAAAAGGACAACAUCAUCAUCUCCAACUCCAAAUCACAUUGACUCAUUCAACUACUAUGAUUUGUUGGACCACCACGAUGAACAAAAUCAAGUCCCCAGUGAAGACACAUUUAGUUUCCAAGAUGGGUCAGAUUUGGCAAUUGGUCAAUAAUUCAAGAACAAAGAUGAGGUAAAAACUAAGUUGAACAAUAUUGCAAUAAAGGCUUGCUUUGAAAUGGAAAUUAAUAAAUCUACCAAGUCAUUAUAUAUGACAAAAUGCAUUGACAAGUCAUGCAAUUGGGCAGUGCGUGCAGCAAAGGUUACCUACUCAGAGCGGUUCUCAAUACGAACUUAUUGUAACACUCACACUUGCUCCCUUAUUAGCCUAAAAAGAAAGCAUCGUCAAGCAAGUGCUGCAGUAGUUGCUAAUGUCAUGAGGUUAAGUUUCAAUGGUCAAAAAGAGACACCGAAGCCAAAAGUAAUAAUGACGAUUAUGCAGAACAAUCACAUGCCAAUAACAUAUUGGAAAGCUUGGAAGGGGAAAAAAUUACAAACAACCUUUUUAGAGGUUCACUUGAAUUAAGUUUUCAAAAUCUUCCAACUUACUUACACAUGGUUCGAAAGAUGAAUCCAGGUACGAUCACACAUUUGGAGGUGGAUGAAGAUUCUAAAUUCAAAUAUGUUUUCCUAGCAUAUGGAGCAUGCAUCAAAGGAUUUUGUUGCAUGAGAAAGGUUAUUGCGGUGGAUGGGACUUGGUUGAAGACCAAGUACAAAGGUGUAAUGCUCAUUGCAACAACACAGGAUGGUAAUUUUCAUCAAUAUCGUAUUGCUUGGGCUGUGGUUGAUUAAGAGAAUGAUGCUUCGUGGUCAUGGUUCCUUACAAAGUUACAAGAACUUAUACCAGAUGAUAGUGAUUUAGUCUUUAUUUCAGAUAGAAACAAAGCAUCAUCAAUGGGGUGUCAAAUAUUUAUAGGAAGUCACAACAUGGGCAUUGUAGGUGGUAUCUGUCUCAAAAUAUUAAAGCACGUGUCAGAGUUAAAUGUGUCAUAAAAUUAUUCGAAGAAACUGCCAAUGCUUAUAAAGUUUCUGACUUCAACAAACUAUAUGAU